AUUGAACGCUGGCGGCAGGCUUAACACAUGCAAGUCGAACGAGUGGCGGACGGGUGAGUAAUGCUUGGGAAUCUGGCUUAUGGAGGGGGAUAACUACGGGAAACUGUAGCUAAUACCGCGUACCAUAGGUUGAGCCCAGGUGGGAUUAGGUAGUUGGUGGGGUAAAGGCUCACCGAGCCGACAAUCCCUAGCUGGUCUGUGAGGAUGACCAGCGACAGUGGGACUGAGACACGGACCAGAUUCCAACGGGAGGCAGCAGUGGGGAAUAGUGCGCAUCGGGAGCAAGCUGACGGAGCCAUGCCGCGUGAAUGAAGAAGGCCUUAGGGUUGUAAAGUUCUUUCGGUAGCGAAGCGUUAACUACAGAAGACGCACCGGCUAACUCCGUGCCAGCCGCCGCGGUAAUUC
rnacentral:rRNA from 1 species